GAAUGAGGAUGUACCUUCAUAAUAAAAGUAGAUGUACCUUCACAGUAAAAAUAAAAUAAGAAGUUUCAAAAUGAAUGUCAGAUGUAUCAACUGUCAAACUUAGUACUUAAGGAAGUUGGAUAUUUCAUACUUAAUAACCUAAUAGAUAUGUCAGAGGGUAUUUAUUAGGAGAAUCAGCUCACAUGAUUAUGGAAGCUGAGAAGUCCCUCAACAAGCUAGAGGCCCAGAGAUGCUGAUAGCAUGGUUCAUUUCAAGCUUUCAGAAAUAAGAAAGGUGAUGGUGUAACCCUCAGUCCAAGGUGGAAGGCCUGAGAGCCCAGUGGGGGUGGGGGGUGAGUUGCUAGUGCAAGUCCUGGAAUCAAAGUCUGGAAACCUGGAGUUCUGGUAUCCAAGGGCAGGAGAAGAGUGAGAAAGAGAGAUUGAAUUCUUUCCUCUGCUUUUUUUUCUGUCUGGGCCCCCAGCUUAUUGGAUGGUUGCCGUCCACAAUGAGAGCAGGUCUUCCUAAUUUAUUUGGUCCACUGUUAGAAAGGUCAGUGGAAUGGAUUAUCUGAGACCCAAGCAUGGUAAAAUAAUUGUAGAAGCUCACCUGUAAAAGAAUUCUCUUGCAUAUCAACAGCAGAGACUGCUUUCUUCCAUAGGGACUUUCUUGAAGGUAAAUGUCCAGCAGUUUACUGUAUCAUGGCAGUGAUAGAAAUUACUGCAUAGAAGCAGGACUGUGAGAACAGGGUAGCACUUAUUGCUAGUGCUACUGAAAAUUUCUUAUAUUGGUGUCUAUUCCUACAAUUCUUGCUUCAUGUGGAAAAUCUAAUUACUGAUUUAAAGAGCUAAGAUGCUUUCUGAAUAUUCUCCUAUAGUCAUAAUCUACUAUUUUAAAAUGAAUUUGUAAUUUGGACGAUGAACUGGCAUCUUUAAAAGAACAACUGACAGAAAAGGAGGCUGAAGUAAAAAGGCUACAUGAAAAAUUGGUUUCCAAGAUGAAAGAAGGGAUUGAAAUUCUUGAUAGAGGUUAAGAAUAUAUGUUUAACAUUUGUUAUCUCCUUAAAAUCCUCUAAAAUCUGUAGAAGAAACUGAUGUUAGUCACUGGGUAAUUUCAGCAUCAAAGAAAGAGUAACAGAAGCCAGCUAGGCCCAGGACCAUAAGGAAUUCUCCAUGACUCUUCAUUGUGCCUGGGAAUCCAUUAACUUCCUCUUCUGCAGCUGGAGAAGGACAAUUCUGUACUUUAUUGAGUGGUCAUGUUUAGAUUACUAAAUUGUAAAUUCUCAUCACAAGAAUGUAUUUGUCCCAACUGCAACACAAGGGAAUAUCCAAAUAAUUAAAAGGAACCACUACUACAUCCCAAGAUUGUUUCCCUCAAAAUUAAAAUUGAGACAAAAUCAGGAAUUUGGAAACCUUUCCUGUUCUUUUGGGAGAAGAGACCAAUGGCUUUGUAUUUUUAGAAAAUUAUUGAAAAUUUCAUACCAAGGUUUGAGCCCUCAACUUUUAGAAGGAAAAAAUAGACUAAUUGCUUUUAGAAAAAUAAAUGAAUUUAUCAAAACUUUUCUUCAUACCUGAGGAGGUUCUGAGUAUCAUAUGGACUGUAAUUUCUAAUAAGUCCACUGUUUGUCUCAGAUCUGCAUUGGAAGCUCCUUCAGACAUAUCUUCUUGGCUACAGCAGAGAUUUUAUCCAGGCUGAUUAAUGGAGCCUCAAUUAUUUCGUGCAACAUCCAGGUAGGUCCUUAGUGAGCGCUUUCCCCCAGACAUUGAAUUUUCAAUUCCUAUAGAAUAUAUCUAAAUUGAAAAUGUUACAUCAGUGCUAAAUGACAUAUCACUGUUUUAAAAAUUAUCUUAUAUAGCACUUUUUUUCCCUCAGAAGCAGGCAAUUUUAGCUGAAAUUUUUUUUCUCUGUUUCAAUUUGUUAGUCCAUGGUUUCACUUUGGGAUAACUUUUCAUGUUAAAAUGUUUUAGUUUUUAAUUAUUCAAGUAACAUGAUUUUGUAUUUAAAUAUCAAAUUGGAAGAAAAACCACAUUCAGCUUACUUUGGCCCUUAUUACUUUGGCCUUUAUAUCUUGAAAUCUGUUUUAAAAUACUGUUGGAAAUGAAGUUUAUAGGUGAAGCAAAUACUUACUAUCCUUCUGUACGGAACCACAACCAGCUUCCUAGCAUGAGUACUCAUGUAAAUAUCACAUUCCCUCAGGCUCUGUGCCUCCCUCUGGGUUAUGACUGAAUGUCAUUUUCUCUGCUUUUAUCAUCAUGUGAACCGUUCAUUGCUUUCACCCACUGCUUUAUAGGUUCCUUUUUUGGAAAGUCUGUGUUUUUAUUGUUAUAGCACUGAAAUUUCAUCUUCAGUGUUCUUCAUGGAGAUUUUGUUGUUGCCCUGAGAGGAUAGCUGGCUCUCACAUACCCUUGUUUUCUUUCUGGAAUGACAACUGUUGAGGGUUAGAUAGAAGGUGUUCAUCUUUCAGAUUUUCCCUAAGAGAGAAUCUGGGUGUUAAAUGUGCCCUUUUUAAAAAACAAGUAAAACAAAUCAUUAUCAUC